GGCAGUGGCGGAGGUGGUAACCGCGAUAGUAGCAGCUCUCGCAGCAGCAACAGUGACUACGAGGGAUGGCAGCGGCUGCAGCAGGAUUUGCAACAUCCCGGAGGUUUUUCCAGAGCUUCUCGGAUGCUCUAAUCGACGAGGACCCCCAGGCGGCAUUAGAGGAGCUGACUAAGGCUUGGGAACAGAAACCAGAUGAUGCACAAUAUUAUUGUCAAAGAGCUUAUUGCCACAUUCUUCUUGGGAAUUACUGUGUUGCUGUUGCUGAUGCAAAGAAGUCUCUCGAACUCAAUCCAAAUAAUUCCACUGCUAUGUUGAGAAAAGGAAUAUGUGAAUACCAUGAAAAAAACUAUGCUGCUGCUCUAGAAACUCUUAUAGAAGGACAAAAAUUAGAUAGUGCAGAUGCUAAUUUCAGUGUCUGGAUUAAAAGGUGUCAAGAAGCUCAGGUGUAGAUUCAUCAGUCAAAAAUCAAGUACGACUGGUAUCAAACAGAAUCUCAAGUAGUCAUUACGCUUAUGAUCAAGAAUGUUCAGAAGAAUUAUGUAAAUGUGCAAUUUUCAGAAAAACAGUCUGCUUUGGUUAAACUUCCUUCUGGAGAGGAUUACAAUUUGAAACUGGAACUUCUUCAUCCUAUAAUACCAGAACAGAGCACAUUUAAAGUACUUUCAACAAAGAUUGAAAUUAAACUGAAAAAGCCAGAGGCUGUGAGAUGGGAAAAGCUAGAGGGGCAAGGAGAUGAGCCUACGCCAAAACAAUUCAUAGCAGAUGUGAAGAACCUAUAUCCAUCAUCAUCUCCUUAUACAAGAAAUUGGGAUAAAUUGGUUGGUGAGAUAAAAGAAGAAGAAAAGAAUGAAAAGUUGGAGGGAGAUGCAGCUUUAAACAGAUUAUUUCAGCAGAUCUAUUCAGAUGGUUCUGAUGAAGUGAAACGUGCCAUGAACAAAUCCUUUAUGGAGUCUGGUGGUACAGUUUUGAGUACCAACUGGUCUGAUGUAGGUAAAAGGAAAGUUGAAAUCAAUCCUCCUGAUGAUAUGGAAUGGAAAAAGUACUAAAUAAAUUAAUUUGCUCU